UUGGAGUUUGAUUAACACAUAAACAUGGGUCUUAAUAAGUCCUUGUAGAGGAUAUUGAUGACAGUUGGUCCACUGUAGGAGAAGGAUGUGCAUUAAGAUGGGAUCUAUCGACCUUGAUAGAAAAGAGUAGUCCUAUAAGAUUUGAGAGACUAAGUCUGAGAAUCUAUGACCACAGUAGUGUGAUUGAUGAAAAAAAAUUUUCAUAGAAG
rnacentral:lncRNA from 1 species